GGGGAUGACUGUAGCUCUAUGGUAGAACAUCUGUGUUGAAUGCGGAGUUCCCAGGUUCAAUCCCUGCCAUCUCCA